ACAAGCAGUGGAGUAUGUGGUUUAAUUCGAAGCAACGCGAAGAACCUUACCAGGGCUUGACAUCCCUUGAAGCAGCUAGAGAUAGCUGUGUCCUUCGGGACAAGGAGACAGGUGGUGGCAUGGUUGUCGUCAGCUCGUGUCGUGAGAUGUUGGGUUAAGUCCCGCAACGAGCGCAACCCCUACGUUUAGUUGCUAACGCGUGAAGGCGAGCACUCUAGACGAACUGCCGUUGACAAAACGGAGGAAGGUGGGGAUGACGUCAAAUCAUCAUGCCCCUUAUGUUCUGGGCUACACACGUGCUACAAUGGCCGGUACAGACGGACGCAAAGCCGCGAGGUGGAGCAAAUCCUAAAAAGCCGGUCUCAGUUCGGAUUGCAGGCUGCAAUUCGCCUGCAUGAAGUCGGAAUCGCUAGUAAUCGCAGGUCAGCAUACUGCGGUGAAUACGUUCCCGGGCCUU
rnacentral:rRNA from 1 species